UAUUCUACCCCACGGGGAAGGAUGAGAAGCUUCGACCAAGGUUCGACUCGAGCGUAGCGAGAGAACGUUGCCGCAGGCAACGGCCCGAAGGGCGAGGAGCGAUAGCGACGAGUUAUCCUUCCCCCACUACUG
rnacentral:sRNA from 2 species